GGGGCUGUACUGGAUUCGACGUGGGUUCGGACGCGCCGCAGGGCAUGUCGAGGUGCUGUGACCUCGUAAAACAGCAGCAACAAAGUAACUGCGAACGACGAACGUUUCGCUCUCGCCGCCUAAUCCGGCGAGCCUUGCACCGGUCGGCCGAUAGGCCGGGCCAAAGGGUCGACAGGCCCUGCGGCGGCAAGGGAAUCUGCAUCGGCUGGUCGUGCGGCGGGCAACUUGCCGUGCGAUGAGAUCCAAGGUUGCUGGCCCGGGACGUAGCGUGCCGCUGCGCGGCGCUCCGGGUGAGACUCCAAACAGACGGCUACACAUGUAGAACUGCGCGAAGAAGGCUUGCGGACGGCGGUUCGACUCCGCCCAGCUCCACCA
rnacentral:tmRNA from 1 species